UACAGGGGGAGCCGUUUGGCUGAGAGUGGACAUUGUUGAUUUCGUCCAGACCCUUUGAACCUGUUAGUUAAUGCUAGCGUAGGGAUGGUAGUCU
rnacentral:ncRNA from 1 species